rnacentral:rRNA from 1 species
UACAGAGGUCCCAAGCGUUGUUCGGAAUCACUGGGCGUAAAGCGCACGUAGGCGGAUUGCUAAGUCAGGGGUGAAAUCCUGGAGCUCAACUCCAGAACUGCCCUUGAUACUGGCGGUCUCGAGUCCGGGAGAGGUGAGUGGAACUGCGAGUGUAGAGGUGAAAUUCGUAGAUAUUCGCAAGAACACCAGUGGCGAAGGCGGCUCACUGGCCCGGUACUGACGCUGAGGUGCGAAAGCGUGGGGAGCAAACAG